rnacentral:sRNA from 1 species
CUAGCUACAACCGCACAUAAAAGGUAUUAAAGGUACAAAGUACUGCCUUGGUUGGCGAGUCUAAGAAAAA